rnacentral:rRNA from 1 species
CCUACGGGAGGCAGCAGUGAGGAAUAUUGGUCAAUGGACGAGAGUCUGAACCAGCCAAGUAGCGUGAAGGAUGACUGCCCUAUGGGUUGUAAACUUCUUUUAUAUGGGAAUAAAACGUUCCACGUGUGGGAUUUUGUAUGUACCAUAUGAAUAAGGAUCGGCUAACUCCGUGCCAGCAGCCGCGGUAAUACGGAGGAUCCGAGCGUUAUCCGGAUUUAUUGGGUUUAAAGGUAGCGUAGGUGGAUUGUUAAGUCAGUUGUGAAAGUUUGCGGCUCAACCGUAAAAUUGCAGUUGAAACUGGCAGUCUUGAGUACAGUAGAGGUGGGCGGAAUUCGUGGUGUAGCGGUGAAAUGCUUAGAUAUCACGAAGAACUCCGAUUGCGAAGGCAGUUCACUGGACUGCAACUGACACUGAGGCUCGAAAGUGUGGGUAUCAAACAGGAUUAGAUACCCCUGUAGUC